rnacentral:rRNA from 1 species
AUUGAACGCUGGCGGCAUGCCUUACACAUGCAAGUCGAACGGUAACGCGGGGCAACCUGGCGACGAGUGGCGAACGGGUGAGUAAUGCAUCGGAACGUGCCCAGUAGUGGGGGAUAGCCCGGCGAAAGCCGGAUUAAUACCGCAUACGACCUUCGGGUGAAAGGGGGGGAUCGAAAGACCUCUCGCUAUUGGAGCGGCCGAUGUCAGAGUAGGUAGUUGGUGGGGUAAAAGCCUACCAAGCCAACGAUCUGUAGCUGGUCUGAGAGGGCGACCAGCCACACUGGGACUGAGACACGGCCCAGACUCCUACGGGAGGCAGCAGUGGGGAAUUUUGGACAAUGGGCGCAAGCCUGAUCCAGCCAUGCCGCGUGCGGGAAGAAGGCCUUCGGGUUGUAAACCGCUUUUGUCAGGGAAGAAACGCUUCGAGCUAAUACCUUGGAGUAAUGACGGUACCUGAAGAAUAAGCACCGGCUAACUACGUGCCAGCCGCCGCCGUAA